AGAGUUUGAUCCUGGCUCAGAGCGAACGCUGGCGGCGCGCUUAAGCCAUGCAAGUCGAACGCGGUCCUGGUCUGUGCUUGCACAAACCGGGAUGCGGCGUGGCAAACGGGUGAGUAACACGUGGAUAAUUUACCCUCGGGUGGGGGAUAACCCACCGAAAGGCGGAAUAAUCCCGCAUAACAUCUCGACACAUAAGUGUCGAGAUCAAAGAGAGCCUCUUCCGACUUGUCGGGAAGCUCUUGCCGGAGGAGAAAUCCGCGUCCUAUCAGGUUAUUGGUAGGGUAAUAGCCUACCAAGCCUCCGACGGGUAGCCGAUGUGAGAGCAUGGUCGGCCACACUGGGACUGAGACACGGCCCAGACUCCUACGGGAGGCAGCAGGCGGGAAUUGUGGACAAUGGGCACAAGCCUGAUCCCGCGACGCCGCGUGGGGGAAGAAGGCCCUUGGGUCGUAAACCCCUGUUAGGGAGGAAGAAGUCUCGCUGGAUGAAUAACCCUGCGGGGNGACG
rnacentral:rRNA from 1 species